rnacentral:rRNA from 1 species
UACGGGGGGGGCAAGCGUUGUUCGGAAUUACUGGGCGUAAAGGGCUGGUAGGCGGCCAACUAAGUCGGAUGUGAAAUCCCCAGGCUUAACCUGGGAACUGCAUCCGAUACUGGUCGGCUUGAAUCCGGGAGAGGGAUGCAGAAUUCCAGGUGUAGCGGUGAAAUGCGUAGAUAUCUGGAGGAACACCGGUGGCGAAGGCGGAUCUCUGGGCCUUACCUGACGCUGAGGAGCGAAAGCGUGGGGAGCGAACAGG